GGUUUUAUUGUUCGGAGUUUGCUCUCCUAGGCAGAUUGCCCACCACGGCUGACGAGCUCCACCUGCCCGGGUUUUAUGUAUGGAGUUUGCUCUCCUAGGUGUAUUACCUAUGACGGCUCACGAGCCCAACCUGCCCGGGUUUAUUGUUCGGAGUUUGCUCUCCUAGGUGUAUUACCUAUGACGGCUCACGAGCCCAACCUGCCCGGGUUUUAUGAUCGGAGUUUGCUCUCCUAGGUGUAUUACCUAUGACGGCUCACGAGCCCAACCUGCCCGGGUUUUAUGAUCGGAGUUUGCUCUCCUAGGUGUAUUACCUAUGACGGCUCACGAGCCCAACCUGCCCGGGUUUAUUGUUCGGAGUUUGCUCUCCUAGGUGUAUUACCUAUGACGGCUCACGAGCCCAACCUGCCCGGGUUUAUUGUUCGGAGUUUGCUCUCCUAGGUGAAUUGCCUACCACGGCUAACGAACCUCACCUGCCCGGGUUUGUAAUCGGAGUUUGCUCUCCUAGGUGAACUGCUUUCGCUAACGACCUCCACCUGCCCGGGUUUGUAAUCGGAGUUUGCUCUCCUAGAUGAAUUGCUUUCGCUAACGACCUCCACCUGCCCGGGUUUGUAAUCGGAGUUUGCUCUCCUAGGUGAACUGCUCACGCUAACGACCUCCACCUGCCCGGUUUUGUAAUCGGAGUUUGCUCUCCUAGAUGAACUGCUUUCGCUAACGACCUCCACCUGCCCGGGUUUAUUGUUCGGAGUUUGCUCUCCUAGGUGAAUUGCCUACCACGGCUAACGAACCUCACCUGCCCGGGUUUGUUGUUCGGAGUUUGCUCUCCUAGGUGAAUUGCCUACCACGGCUAACGAACCUCACCUGCCCGGGUUUGUUGUUCGGAGUUUGCUCUCCUAGGCAGAUUGCCU